rnacentral:rRNA from 1 species
CCCUGAUCCAGCAACGCCGCGUGGGGGAUGAAGGUCCUCGGAUUGUAAACCCCUGUUGAGAGGGACGAAGGGCUGAUGGGCGAACAGUCCUGAAGCUUGACGGUACCUCUAUAGAAGGCCCCGGCUAACUCUGUGCCAGCAGCCGCGGUAAUACAGAGGGGGCAAGCGUUAUCGGAAUCAUUGGGCGUAAAGGGCGCGUAGGCGGCCACGCAAGUCUCGGGUGAAAUCCCUCGGCUCAACCGAGGAACUGCCCUGGAAACUGCAUGGCUUGAGGCCGGGAGAGGGUGGUGGAAUUCCCAGUGUAGCGGUGAAAUGCGUAGAUAUUGGGAGGAACACCAGUGGCGAAGGCGGCCACCUGGACCGGUCCUGACGCUGAGGCGCGAAAGCGUGGGGAGCAAACAGGAUUAGAUACCCUGGUAGUCCACGCCCUAAACGAUGGGUACUCGGUGUCGCGGGUAUCCGACCCCUGCGGUGCCUUAGCUAACGCGUUAACGUACCCCGCCUGGGGAGUACGGUCGCAAGGCUG